ACGCUCGACACCUACGGGAGCAGCAGUGGGGAAUAUUGCACAAUGGGGGGAACCCUGAUGCAGCGACGCCGCGUGAGUGAAGAAGUACUUCGGUAUGUAAAGCUCUAUCAGCAGGGAAGAAAAUGACGGUACCUGACUAAGAAGCCCCGGCUAACUACGUGCCAGCAGCCGCAGUAAUCUGAGCGGGCUGGCAAGGC
rnacentral:rRNA from 1 species